GAUCAGACGGCUUGUCCACGCAGAGUCUGUGUGCAAAGCCAGGUUGUCUGACUCCAGACCUGGGCACUCAGGCUGUGCGUCCGCGGCAUCCUGGACUCACUCUCGGAGGAGUGGCCAGUGAGCACUAUCCUGGCACAGAGGGCACGAGGCGAGAGCUGAACGGCCGUGCCCCAGAGCAAAUGUUGGGGUGAGCAUGCUGUCCUCCUGCAGACACCAGCCUGUCGCACCCCUGCACCCCUGCAGGCUGGUCAGUUCAUGUCUGAGCCCAAGGCUGUGGUCUGCUGAGCUGGUCGGUGCUUCCAGAGAGUGACGACCUCUGGCAAGGGCCCGAGACCCGGCCUGCGCCACUGGCUGCUGGCUGCCUCUACAAACUGAGGAGUUUUUUAAAAAGCUGAAUGUAAGCUUCAAUUUUAAUAGGUGAAAGUGAAAAUGACAUGUGACUUCCAGAAAAUUCUCACAGAUUCAAAAGAAUUGUUCUUUGUCA